GACGAACGCUGGCGGCGUGCUUAACACAUGCAAGUCGAACGGAAAGGCCCUGCGUUUGUGGGGUGCUCGGGUGGCGAACGGGGGAGUAACACGUGAGUAACCUGCUCUUGACUUUGGGAGGACAUCAGGAAAGUGGGGCUAAUACCGUAUAGGAGCUCCUGCUGCGUGGUGGGGGUGGGAAAGUUUCGGCUGUUGGGGAUGGAUGAGCGGCUGAACAGCUUGUUGGUUGGGUAGGGGCUGACCCAGGCUGUGACGGGUAGCCGGCCUGGGAGGGUGACCGGCCACAUUAGUCCUACGAUACGCACCAGACUCCUACGGGAGGCAACAGUGGGGAAUAUUACCCAAUGAGCGCGAGCCUGAUGCGGCAACGCCCCGGGCGGGAUGACGGCCUUCGGGUUAUAAACAGCAUUCGCCUGUGACGCAGCGUGAGUGACGGUAAUGGGUAAAGAAGCACCGGCUAACUACGUG
rnacentral:rRNA from 1 species